ensembl:lncRNA
UGAGUGAGUGAGUGAACUCUUAAAUUCACAUAGGACAGGAGAGGUACUCCAGAUAUAACAAACUGACCCUAGCCCCUCGACACAAACUACUGCAGCAUAAAUACUGGAGGCUGAGACAGGAGUGGUCAGGAGACACUGUGGCCACAUCCGAUGAUACCCCCGGACAGGGCCAAACAGGAAGGAUAUAACCCCACCCACUUUGCCAAAGCACAGCCCCGACACCACCAACUUACCAUCCUGAGACAAGGCCGAGUAUAGCCCACAAAGAUCUCCACCACGGCACAACCCAAGGUGUGCGCCAAUCCACUCAAGUGACGGGAAGAUCACAUCAGUGACUCAACCCACUCAAGUGACGCACUCCUCCUAGGGACGGCAUGAAAGAGCUGUAGUGUAAGUGCUGUUAUUGUGAAGUGGAAAGGUCUAGGAGCAACAAAGGGAAAUGGUUGUCUGCACAAGAUCCGCAACAGGAAGGAAGUCUGACAUUAUUUUUUUUAAAUGUAACCUUUAUUUAACUAGGAAUGUCAAUUAAGAACAAAUUCUUAUUUACAAUGAUGGCCUACUGGGGAACAAAUCAAAUCAAAGUUUAUUUGUCACGUGCGCCAAAUACAACAGGUAGACCUCACAGUGAAAUGUUUACUUCCAGGCCCUAACCAACAGUGCAAUUUUGAAGUAAAAAUAGGUACUAAGUGAACAAUAGAUAAGUAAAGAAAUAAAAACAACAUUAAAAAGACAGUGAAAAUAACAGUUACGAGACUAUAUACAGGCACCGGUUAGUCGGGCUAAUUGAGGUAAUAUGUUCAUGUAGGUAUAGUUAAAGUGACUGACUUUGAUUAAGUAUUUGAGAUCAGAGUUUUGCCUUGUGUUGUAGUACCAGGGUAAGGACACAGGGUUAUCUCCUCUCUCCCCUGCACAGACCAACCUACAAUCCCCAGUCUACCAUCACAGCGCAGGGUGGAAGCAUUGUAAUUGCCUCAGAUCAACUCCACAGUAGGAAGUGACAUCAACAUGUCGUCUCAGAACAAAGAUGCACAAUUGAGAGCAUCCUGUCGGGGUGUAUCACCGCCUAGUACGGCAACUGCACCACGCACAACUGCAGGGCUCUCCAGAGGGUGGUGAGGUCUGCACAACGCAUCACCGGGGGCAAACUACCUGCCCUCCAGGACACCUACACCACCCGAUGUCACAGGAAGGCCAAAAAGAUCAAUGGAAAACAACCGAGCCACUGCCUGUUCACACCGCUAUCAUCUAGAAGGACCGUUCGUCCGAGAGCGACGUUGAUCGCCGCGUGACCCCAGACUUCCAGCAUCCAUCUAUUCAGGGAGACAACACGGGGGGACAAGCCAGGGACAUUAGAAAUCAAGUCGGAGGACGAAAAUGCAACAUCUAUCCAAAUGCAAAAAUGACUGCACAAGUCUGGACAGUUUCAGGACAAGUUUCUAAAUGUCCUUGAGUGGCCCAGCCAGAGCCCCGACUUGGACCGAUCGAACAUCUCUGGAGAGACCUGAGUUAUCGGCAUAUUCAACACCGUUCAUGAAAUAUAUGACCUUCAACAGUGUUAUCCUGUGAUCAAGCCAUCAAUGUUUUGUGAUUAUUGGUGUCGUAAAAAUGUUAGCUAACAGGUUAGCAAUUAGCAUGUUAAUCGGCAUCAUUACCAUGGGCUCCCAAGUGGCGUAGCGGUCUAAGGCACUGCAUCUCAGUGCUAGAGGCAUCACUACAGACCCUGGUUCAAUUCCAGGCUGUAUCACAAUCCAGCCGUGAUCGGGAGUCCCAUAGGGUAGCGCACAAUUGGCCCAGCGUCGUCUGGGUUUGGCCGGUGUAGGCCAUCAUUGUAAAUAAGAAUUAGUUCUUAACUGACUUGACUACUUAAAGACGUAUUAGCCACCUUACUAUUUUGUUUUAAAAAAGACAGCAACCCAUCAAUUUUUCAUUGGGUUAAUCCUGUGGACUCUUAAAUGGUUCUUCACCAAAUGUCUCAAUUCGUUUUACAGAUUAAUAUUUUUUGAGAAAGUAGAAAUGUUUACGUCAAAUUCAACUUUAAUUUCAGUGAUUGACAUAAACACUUGGAGUUUGUUGCAGAAAUGCACAUGGCAAGUAAAGGAAGAAAUACACAAGAUGGGUUGAAUAAAAAACAUAUAUUUUAGACAUGCAUUUGAUUUUUUACAAAUAAAUCUCAACCUCCAUUGUCACACACCUGCAGUGGAACCAGUGUUGACAGAAGUCACAGCACACCCAUGGCACCGUGGGCCUACACUCCAGCGGCGAGUUUGCAGGCAGAUCACUCUCCCCGCAGCAAGCACAUCAGAUGGUCUUUUGCAAUGUACAAGUACUACAGCAACAAUAGUAAUUGACAACAGAGGGAUAAAAAAACAACCAGAUUAUUUAGUACCUGAGGGAGGUGCCUAUGGGUGGCAGGUAGAGUUUAUCUCUCCGUUUUAUUUGCUGCAGUUGAGAGAAAAAGUAGUGUUAGA